rnacentral:rRNA from 1 species
UACGGAGGGUGCAAGCGUUAUCCGGAUUCACUGGGUUUAAAGGGUGCGUAGGUGGGCAGGUAAGUCAGUGGUGAAAUCUCCGAGCUUAACUCGGAAACUGCCGUUGAUACUAUUUGUCUUGAAUAUUGUGGAGGUAAGCGGAAUAUGUCAUGUAGCGGUGAAAGGCUUAGAUAUGACAUAGAACACCAAUUGCGAAGGCAGCUUACUACACAACGAUUGACGCUGAGGCACGAAAGCGUGGGGAGCGAACAGG